rnacentral:rRNA from 1 species
CAGUUCGGAUUGCAGGCUGCAACUCGCCUGCAUGAAGUCGGAAUUGCUAGUAAUCGCGGAUCAGCAUGCCGCGGUGAAUAUGUUCCCGGGCCUUGUACACACCGCCCGUCACACCAUGGGAGUCAGUAACGCCCGAAGCCGGUGACCCAACCAAGAAUGGAGGGAGCCGUCGAAGGUGGGACCGAUAACUGGGGUGAAGUCGUAACAAGGUAAC